rnacentral:rRNA from 1 species
AUACGGAGGGUGCGAGCGUUGUUCGGAAUUACUGGGCGUAAAGGGCGCGCAGGCGGCUUGAUAAGUCAGAUGUGAAAGCCCACGGCUCGACCGUGGAAGUGCAUCUGAAACUGUCUGGCUUGAGUACUGGAGAGGAAAGUGGAAUUCCUGGUGUAGAGGUGAAAUUCGUAGAUAUCAGGAGGAACACCGGUGGCGAAGGCGACUUUCUGGACAGAUACUGACGCUGAGGCGCGAAAGCGUGGAGAGCAAACAGGAUUAGAUACCCUGGUAGUCC